rnacentral:rRNA from 1 species
UACGUAGGGGGCAAGCGUUGUCCGGAAUUAUUGGGCGUAAAGCGCGCGCAGGCGGUCUGUUAAGUCGGGUGUCUAAAUCCAGGGCUUCACCCUGGGGUGCACCGGAAACUGGGAGACUGGAGUGCAGGAGAGGGGAGUGGAAUUCCACGUGUAGCGGUGAAAUGCGUAGAGAUGUGGAGGAACACCAGUGGCGAAGGCGACUCUUUGGCCUGUAACUGACGCUGAGGCGCGAAAGCGUGGGGAGCAAACAGG